rnacentral:rRNA from 1 species
CGACACGGUGACGUGGGGCGGAUCCCUGAAAACCGGUCUCAGUUCGGAUCGCAGUCUGCAACUCGACUGCGUGAAGGUGGAGUCGCUAGUAAUCGCGGAUCAGCAACGCCGCGGUGAAUGCGUUCCCGGGCCUUGUACACACCGCCCGUCAAGUCAUGAAAGUGGGCAGCACCCGAAGACGGUGGCCUAACCCUUGUGGGGGGAGCCGUCUAAGGUGAGGCUCGUGAUUGGGACUAAGUCGUAACAAGGUAGC